UAAAUAUUAAAGAAAUUUAGAUUUAAUUAUUAAUUUAAGUAUAAACUAAAUAUGUGCCAGCAGUUGCGGUUAAACAUAAUAUACAAAUAAAAUAGUUUGGUAAUUAGUAUUUAAAUAUAAUUUAUAAUUUAAUUUUUUCUUAAAAAGUAAAAUUUAAUUAAUUAUUAUUAUUGUAAUUAUUUUAUUCUAUUAAAUUUUAUUUAAAACUAGGAUUAGAUACCCUAUUAUAAAAAUUUAAAUUAAUUUACUAAAAAAUUAAUAGUUAUGUUCUUUAAAUUUAAAAAAUUUGGCGGUAUUUUAGUCUUAUUAGAGGAACCUGUUUAUUAAUUGAUAAUCCACGAUUAAUUUUACUUAUUUUAUUAAUUCAUAUAUCGCUGUCAUGAAUAUAUUUAAAAAUUUAUUUUCUUUCAUUAUUUUUAUAAUUUAUGUUAAGUCAAGAUGUGGUUUAUAAAUAAGAAUAUAAUGGGUUACAAUAAAUUUUAUUUUUGAAUUUUAAAUGAAAAUUAAGAUGAAAUUGGAUUUAAUAGUAAGUUUAUUUAUUUAAAUAAUAUGAAUAUAGAUCUAAAAUAUGUACAUAUUGCCCGUCAUUCUUAUUAAAAAUAAGACAAGUCGUAACAAAGUAAAUGUACUGGAAAGUGUAUUUAGAAAG
rnacentral:rRNA from 1 species